CCGUGAGCGGCUCGAGCAGAGGGCUGCUACUGAGUUCUACCUGGCUGUUCUGAGGAUGAAGCGUGAUGUCCUCACUGAGAUGCGCAACAACCUUGUGGAGGGGACCGCAGAGCUGGAGAUGAACUUCCUCUCACAGCCCACCUAUCUUGGAUGCGGCGCCGUAGAGUACGUCAAGUUCGAGGACAUGCCCAUGCUGCCAGAAACCACAUAGGACCCGGAAGGAGGAGUUUUGACAACUUACACCAUGUUUGAAUGCCUUUCCUUGCUAGCAGCAAUGGCAGAGGACCCCUACAUUGGCGAAGUUAUGUGUUGGCUUUCUGAAGACCGUUUACUUUGCUAGCAGAAACAGUUUUUGUUUUCUAGGCAUUUUGCAGUUCGCCUAACUGAACAGCCUGCUAGUUUUCUAGGUGUCUGAUCGUUUUUCCUUGGAUUUUAGUGGUGGCUCUCCGUACUCUUUUUUCUGUUAGGCGUGCUGGUGUUCACCACGUGAUAUCAGCCCUCUAUGCUUUGAACUCCUAUGAAUUUGUUGCUUCAAGUAAUGAGAUUAGGGCUCUUGGCCCGUUGGGUUGGGGAAAAAAUUGUUUUGCAUAUAGUAUUUUAACUUUCUGAAUGCAUGGCCAUAUGUGUCAGUAUUGAAUAGCAUAGGUAGAAAUCGUGUACAGUGCCAUUGGCAUUAUUGUGCCAUGUGUCCUUCGUUUCACUUCCGCUUUUCGUUUAGCCAUUC